rnacentral:rRNA from 1 species
AGAGUUUGAUCCUGGCUCAGGAUAAACGCUGGCGGCGUGCAUGAGACAUGCAAGUCGAACGGACGAUCAGGGCUUGCUCUGAUCGUUAGUGGCGGACGGCUGAGUAACGCGUAGGUGACCUGCCCCGAAGUGGGGAAUAACUGCCCGAAAGGGUGGCUAAUACCGCAUGUGGUGGUGUGUUCAUUCACACCAGUAAAGCCGCAAGGCGCUUCGGGAGGGGCCUGCGUCCGAUUAGCUCGUUGGUGGGGUAACGGCUCACCAAGGCGACGAUCGGUAGGUGGUCUGAGAGGACGAUCACCCAGACUGGGACUGAGACACGGCCCAGACUCCUACGGGAGGCAGCAGUCGGGAAUUUUGCGCAAUGGACGAAAGUCUGACGCAGCAACGCCGCGUGAGGGAUGAAGGCCUUCGGGUUGUAAACCUCUUUUAUCAGGGAAGAUAAUGACGGUACCUGAUGAAUAAGUCACGGCUAACUACGUGCCAGCAGCCGCGGUAAUACGUAGGUGACAAGCGUUGUCCGGAUUUACUGGGCGUAAAGAGCGCGCAGGCGGUCGAUCAAGUCGAGUGUGAAAGCCCCCGGCUCAACUGGGGAGGGUCAUUCGAUACUGAUCGACUCGAAGGCAGGAGAGGGUAGUGGAAUUCCCGGUGUAGUGGUGAAAUGCGUAGAUAUCGGGAGGAACACCAGUGGCGAAGGCGACUACCUGGCCUGUUCUUGACGCUGAGGCGCGAAAGCUAGGGGAGCAAACGGGAUUAGAUACCCUAGUAGUCC